CUUCAAUAGCACUUCAUCAAAAUUUCAUUUACAGUAAAUCUAAUUAUCUCAUUUCUUUUUUUUUGAGACGGAGUCUCGCUCUUUCACCCAGGCCGGAAUGCAGUGGCGCGAUCUCCGCUCACUGCAAGCUCCGCCUCCCGGGUUCACGCCAUUCUCCUGCCUCAGCCCCCCGAGUAGCUGGGACUACAGGAUUAUCUCAUUUCUUACAAAAGUUACCCAUGGUGCUGAGAAAACUAGAAACUGGACUGUAGAUGAUGCUUGGUCCAUUUCUUAUACAAGGAAAUUCAGUUACUCCGAGGACAAUUCAGCUAGCCAAGAGUCCCUGUACAGUGAGCAAUCUUUUGGGGUCUUAUCUUCUCAUCACUGAAGAAUUUCUAUGUGGACACUAAAGUAAUAUUAAAACCACUCACUCUCACAGGUGGCAAGAAGAAAAGUUUAAGAAUUUCAAGUGGCU
rnacentral:lncRNA from 10 species